rnacentral:pre_miRNA from 11 species
GACCGCACGGGAUAAUAGAUUAUCCCAUGUGUUUGGGUUAUACGGACCGCACGGGAUUAUCUAUUAUCCCGUGCGGUC